rnacentral:misc_RNA from 1 species
GAUGAAGAACGUAGCGAAAUGCGAUAAGUAAUGUGAAUUGCAGAAUUCAGUGAAUCAUCGAAUCUUUGAACGCACAUUGCGCCCGCCAGUAUUCUGGCGGGCAUGCCUGUCCGAGCGUCAUUUCAACCCUCGAACCCCUCCGGGGGGUCGGCGUUGGGGAUCGGCACUUACCUGCCGGCCCCGAAAUACAGUGGCGGUCUCGCCGCAGCCUCUCCUGCGCAGUAGUUUGCACACUCGCACCGGGAGCGCGGCGCGUCCACGGCCGUAAAACAACCCAAACUUCUGAAAUGUUGACCUCGGAUCAGGUAGGAAUACCCGCUGAACUUAAGCAUAUCAAAAGCGGAGGA